rnacentral:rRNA from 1 species
GACGAACGCUGGCGGCGUGCCUAACACAUGCAAGUCGAACGGAACUGUUUUGAAAGAUUUCUUCGGAAUGAAUUUGAUUUAGUUUAGUGGCGGACGGGUGAGUAACGCGUGAGUAACCUGCCUUCAAGAGGGGAAUAACAUUCUGAAAAGAAUGCUAAUACCGCAUUACAUAUCGGAACCACAUGGUUUUGAUAUCAAAGAUUUUAUCGCUUGAAGAUGGACUCGCGUCCGAUUAGUUAGUUGGUGAGGUAACGGCUCACCAAGACCGCGAUCGGUAGCCGGACUGAGAGGUUGAACGGCCACAUUGGGACUGAGACACGGCCCAGACUCCUACGGGAGGCAGCAGUGGGGGAUAUUGCGCAAUGGGGGCAACCCUGACGCAGCAACGCCGCGUGAAGGAUGAAGGUUUUCGGAUUGUAAACUUCUUUUAUUAAGGACGAAAAAUGACGGUACUUAAUGAAUAAGCUCCGGCUAACUACGUG